rnacentral:rRNA from 1 species
GACGAACGCUGGCGGCGUGCUUAACACAUGCAAGUCGAACGGAAAGGCCCUGCUUUUGUGGGGUGCUCGAGUGGCGAACGGGUGAGUAACACGUGAGUAACCUGCCCUUGACUUUGGGAUAACUUCAGGAAACUGGGGCUAAUACCGGAUAGGAGCUCCUGCUGCAUGGUGGGGGUUGGAAAGUUUCGGCGGUUGGGGAUGGACUCGCGGCUUAUCAGCUUGUUGGUGGGGUAGUGGCUUACCAAGGCUUUGACGGGUAGCCGGCCUGAGAGGGUGACCGGCCACAUUGGGACUGAGAUACGGCCCAGACUCCUACGGGAGGCAGCAGGGGGGAAUAUUGCACAAGGGGGGGAAGCCUGAGGCAGCAACGCCGCGUGGGGGAGGACGGCUUUCGGGUUGUAACCCGCUUUCGCCUGUGACGAAGGGGGAGUGACGGUAAGGGGUAAAGAAGCACCGGCUAACUACGUG